GGUGGACAUUGUUGGAACUGCACCAGGAUUCUCAGCAGUUUUCUAUGCCAUGUUUUAUUCAGGCUACAUUGAAAUCCAAGUUUAUUUGUGCCACACACAGAUUAGCAGAUGUUAAAACAGAUGUUAAAGCAGGUGCAGUGAAAUGCUUUGUGACCGUGUAAUACCAUCUUACAGAGAUUUCUGCACAGGAAGCUUGAUCCUCAGUCCCUCUUUCCCUGAGACGCCCUCUAAAGGGGAGUCUUGUGGGGUUUGGAUGAAAUAGACUGGCACUCGGGUGGAAUCAUGAGUCGCAUAGCAACAGUUACCAGGGUCAGGAUUUUUAUUAAAACAUCCAACCAGCGUGGGAGGGAGGGAGGUUGACAUGAAGCAGGCUGCCUGUCACCUACAGACCACACAGCCAUCAGCAGCCAGGGCCGUUGUCAUAGAGACCUGGUGCCAUAGCCAAUCAUGCCUCCCACACCACAGUAGGGGUCCAGAUACAGUGGUGUGCAUCACACGAGCCAGGUCCAAUGAUUCAAGUCUGGUCAGUGACGUCUCCGUUAUUAUUGGACGUUGUAGCUAGCUCACAAUGCCCUCUGACGAUGAGUUCAAUUAACGUGAAGCUCCAUGUGUCCAGGCCGGCCAGGUUUCCAUGAGAACCAGCGUAAGAUUGCGUCGGCGAGGGCUGAGGCGCCAGCAGCAGGAGAGUUGGACGGGAGUUCAGCUGCAUUUGCCUUGGCGUGGGCGGACGGGUGCACGUGGCCUUUUGCGGCUCAGCUCUGCCAGGUCUCUCCCGUCUCUGACGGGCAGCCGGCGUGUGGGAAAACACCACGUACACUACGACAGGCUGGCUCUCAGAGUUAAUUACACAUAACAGGUGGGAGAGAGGGAGAGGGAGGACAAAGCGGAACCACCUCCAUCGCAGAAGUCAGGCAGACCUGAGUUUAGAGCUGUUCAGGGGUAUACUUAUUCAUUUCCUGUACCGCCAUAUGCAUAUCCCUUGACAUUUAUCCAUAUGAUUGGAUGCAAAAAUGUACUUCAGCUCACACGCUGGCAGACGUUUGAUUGCAAGCAGGCAGACUUCUUAAAGUAAGCGUGUGGGCUGAAGUGUCCAAAAUUUGCAAGUACAGACACCGGGCAGCACGACAGGCAGAGUGUUCCUGUGGCCUUGGCGGAGGCAGGCCAGGCCUUGGCGGAGGCAGGCCAGGCCUUGGCGACGGCAGGCCAGGCCUUGGCGACGGCAGGCCAGGCCUUAGCGACGGCAGGCCAGGCCUUAGAGACGGCAGGCCAGGCCUUAGAGACGGCAGGCCAGGCCUUAGAGACAGACUAAUGUCUCUCCCAAGGUCAAGGAGGAAAGCCAUGGCUGAGCUGCGGCAGAGUGCAGCCCUGUCCUGGAGAUGGCAGACCAUUUCCAACCGGUCUCCACAGAACAUAACAUGGAGCCCACUGGGUCUCCUGUAAUGAGGUGGCCCAAAGAGAAACAUGACAGGAAAGGGAGGGAGAGCGGGAUAGAGAGAGAGAGAAAAGGGCCCCGUUUCGUUCAGACUUCAUAAGUGCCCUAGUUUUACAAAAGCACAGUAGCAAAGCACAGAUAGAUAAGGUAGAUAAGAGCAUACUGUGGAACUAGUCAAUGUCACUACUGCUACAUUAACAACACAAAGCUGAGGCUAUGGAACCCUGACCUGUUCACCGAACAUGCUACCUUGUCCCGGACCUGCUGUUUUCCACUCCCUCUCCAACUCUGAAUGUUCGGCUAUGAAAAGCCAACUGACAUUUACUCCGGAGAACUAGGAGAGAUAAAAGGGAGGAAGAGAUGGAGGGAUGGGCGAUUGAGAUUGCCUCGAUGCAAUGGGUUGUUGCAACUCCGACAAAAUGAUGCCAUCUAUCUAGGGCUAGCACUUUUAGCUGGGUAUCCAGGCCUCUGUAGCCUGAGGCGAAACACACACAGGAGGACCCAGGAGCCAUCUUGUUGCUAUCCAUAGCGUAGGACUGAUGGACGAGGCAAUCAGCAUUGACAUUCUCCUCAGGCCUGGCUAGAGCUGGCCUGCUUUGUUAGAUCAAACCAACAGGAAAAGCAUUAGUAUUUAGCCUAACAAGGUUCCAGUUCUCUCCAAAAACACAAUUUACUGGCAAAAAUACAUCCAUAAAAGAGCAUUUGAACACAGAGCUCCAUUGCAUACAGAAUAAAAGAGAUUAAAAUGGAGUGAGCAUUUAGCUUCCAUGAGGCAUAGACUGCUCAUUAACUCUCCAGAGAGUAGGCUAAGUUAUGGGUGAACUCCAAAGACCGAGAACCAGUGUUCAUCACACCAAGUCAAUGCUACAUUACGCUAGCCGUCGACUAGUAAGCCAAAUAAUAUUGUCUGGAUUUAACUAACUUUCAACUCCAAAGUAUAACUGUCUGAAAUGUUUUUUCAUGCUCUUAUUUUCAGACUUAGCUUAAAGCUACAAACAAGGUUGAUGGACAGCAGUUGAACAGCCCCCUCCAUUUAAAACACUUCAGAGUGAUUUCUCAUUAUUGAGACACACGAAUCGAAAUGUUCUUAAGUUUGAAGGUUGAGGUAGAAACUUCUAAUGACUUAGACCCAUUGAGUU
rnacentral:lncRNA from 1 species